UACAGGGGGUGCAAACGUUGCUCGGAAUUAUUGGGCGUAAAGCGCGCGUAGGCGGCCACUUAAGUCGGAUGUGAAAGCCCUUGGCUCAACUGAGGAAGUGCACCCGAAACUGAAUGGCUUGAGUACUAAAGAGGGUCGCGGAAUUCCCGGUGUAGAGGUGAAAUUCGUAGAUAUCAGGAGGAACACCGGUGGCGAAGGCGGGUCUCUGGGCCGAUACUGACGCUGAGGAGCGAAAGCGUGGGGAGCGAACAGG
rnacentral:rRNA from 1 species